rnacentral:lncRNA from 1 species
GCAGCUUCCAGGGAUCACGCCGGAACGCGGCCGCUGCUCGAGCCCAGCUCGCAGGAUGCCUGGAGCCAGGGCCAAGCCGGUCUAAGCGGCAGCCUCUAUUUUUACCCUGAGCACCAGCAAGGGCAACUUCUUUUAAGAGCAGCUCUUGAUUUUUUCCCCCCUUUUGGCAGCUAAAGAAUUCAGGGAGGGGAAAAAAAUCACUGUUCAGUGAGUGCAGCUGGGAAUCUCUGAACCCAGCCCUCAGUGCCAGGGAGUGAAACCACAGCAAAUGUCAGGGAGCGGGACCUGCGGAGGGGCCGGCUGGCUCCCCGCGGACAGAGGCGAGCCGGGAGCGCUCGCGCACCAGCCAACUGCCCCCUUCUGAGUGCGGAGCGCGGUCCUCCAGCGACUGCACUAGCAAAGUGGCCCGCUGCCACCGCGUUAUUCACCUAGUGGAGGCGGCCUGAUUUACUGGCGACUUCACAAACCCAACUCCACGCUGGAGCAUUUGCAUGGCUCUGUUCUCGCCUCGAGGAGCAGCCACUAGCGAACCCGGUGGAGCAGCUUGCUGCGAGAAGGAGCCGGGAGGGAAACUGUGGUACCUUAUUUUACUGUAAUUGCAAAAGGAACGAUGUGCCAGAGAUUUAUAUUUAGAAGUUGUAUGUUUCUACUUUUAUGUAAAUGGAGCAAUUAGGGCCUGUCUUGCUGCUGCUAACUCCAAUGCGUGUGCAUUGCUGGGGAGCUGGUGUUUUCAAUCACAAUUAGUGAGCUGGUCAAAAAACAAAGUUCGUUUAAGGAUAAGAGCUCAAUUGUGCGAAUGGGGGAGAGGCCAGCGUUCGUGUGCUGGCCCGUGGCUUACGGUGACACCUAGCUUAGGGCCACGGCCAACCCUAUAGUGGUGUUUACCUGUGGCAGCAGCUGUCCCUGUUCAAAGUUGGCAUAGAUGAGGAAGCAAGAAUGUUCACUUUUCUUCUCAAACCGUCUGUCCUUCAGCUUUCAUCCACGCUAUUAACUGGUCUCUUUCCUCACUACUCCUGGAGCAAGGAGACAGGACCAGAAAAGGGAGUGGGGGUUGGGGCAUUUUUCAGGGCUCUAUUAUUUUAGCUGCUGCUCACGGAUUGCUGUUAUUCAGUCAAAAAUACAAGCCAGGAGACGCGAACGCCCCAAGCAGGUGACUGGGAUGUUGUUCUCUGAUUCAGCUGAAAUGACACAAGGCUGGGGGUUCAGAGGCACGGACAAGAGUGCUGACGAGUCACGGUGUUUUCUUUCCUUCCUAUGAAAAAAUCUGUUUCCAAAAAAGCAUGAUUUCUGGUUCAUCCCGUCUGGGAAACCGAACAUAAAACGUGACUAUGGAGAGAAAUCAAAAGGACUCGAGGUGUUCCCAGCAGCUGAUGUGUUAUUCUGGGGCUCAGGCCGGAAAACCUGGCCUUGUUGGUGAGGGGUGACUCCCUCCAGAGGCAGCUCAGAAUCCAGAGAACGUGGGCAGGAUCCAGAGUACUAUUUGCUGCAGGGAGACUGCGAGAGUCUGUGAUGAAGGGUCUCAUCAAAUGGUUUAAAUCGAACAUGGGAUUGGCAAACCCUGCCUGUUUCCUGGACAGCCGCAGCCUGUACAUAGCUUGGGCUGAAUGUUAGGUAGAAAGAUUUGGGACAAAGGAGAAUCAGCGUUUCACGUUCAAAAUUGAACUGGGAAGCUGUUUUGCUUUUAAGUUAAAUCAAUGAAUGAAUAGAUCGAAACAGAGAGAGAGAGGAAAGCAUUAAAAAGUCCCCUGAAAUUCAUUGAGAACAACAGGGUCAGAAAUGGUUAAUCUGAAACUUGACUCGUAAGCUUCACAUUUCUUUCAGAACCACCAGAAUAUCCCACAAGGCCUUCUGCUAUGUAAGAGCACUCUGUUUUUAGAUUAUUUGGAAAUGCUGCUUUCUGAACCAAGGGAACCCAGAUACUAGAACUAAAACAAUUAGGGAAAAGAGAAGGAGGAAGAAAACCCAGUAAGUAACCUAUUACUCUUCAUUCUACAGCAGUGGUUCUCAACCGGGGCGAUUUUGCUCCCCGGGGAACAUCUGGCCAUGUUUGAAGACAUUUUGGUUGUUACAGCUGGGAGGGAGGUUCUACUGAUCAUUAGUGGGUAGGGCCCAGGGAUGCUGCUGAAUAUCCUACCAUGCACAGGACAGCCCCCAACAACAAGAAAUUACCUGGCCUACAGUGUUCAUUGUUCUGCAGUUGAGAUACCCUGAUUUCAUAUUAUAAUUGUAAAG